CAGGGAUACGGCUUACACUAUAGAUACGGCAGUGAGCCCACUGCCCCCCCACCUACCGUCUCCUGCCAACCGCGCGCAGGAGACGCGGCCAGUCCCAAUCAAGAGUAGUUGGCUCCACAUUAUUGUUGUGAUCGGAGCGCGGUGGCUUCCAUCGAAUGUAGGUUUAUUGAGCACGAAAUGAAAGCAAGGAGCAAACGGUAGCCCAGCAGCUUGUACCAACGUUAUUCAUGCUCGUUUUCUUCUUCCCGAAUAGGGACACGGAAUACGAAGCGGUGGAUAGGGACGGUUGAACUGGGUUGAAUGCUCGACCGCCGUGGCUUUGACCUCGUCUGGCGCAAUCAAACGAAUGGAACUAGCUUGAAUUGAGUAUGUUUUCAGGCGGGACACUUUCUAACGCGUCUGAGCAAUGUGUUUCGUGAUUAGCGCCGAUUAAAUGGUAACGAAUGGCGAUAAGAUUAACAAAGCACCUUUUAGCUGGCGUAUUGGUACUUUGGUCGCCCGUCGUGUCGAACGUACAAAACCGCACGGACUCGGCGGCAGCAGCAGCAGAUUAUGGUCAAGCUUGUAACAAGACUGAAGAGUGCAGCUCACUUGGACCCGAAUUCUGGUGCCACCCUGAACACCGCAACUGCAGCUGCAAGGGAGUUUUGCUUUGGUUCGUCAGUCUGCAUCGCUGCGCACAAG